GAAUCAACUCCUAUAACCCACUCACCGUAUGCAGUAUCGAAAUUUAACCACUUAGGAAACCUCUCCCUCUAAUUGAAUCUCCAAUCCAAAAAGAAAUACAAAAACAAUGACUAAGGAAAAUAAAACAAAGAAAGGAAAAACGUCACGGACUUACCGAUAAGUUGAUCCCUCCUCCUUGGCUCAACAAGACUUCUGAAGGCUUCAGCUUCUUGAAGAACUUGAAGGAG
rnacentral:lncRNA from 1 species